rnacentral:hammerhead_ribozyme from 1 species
GCACUGCUGAGGAGUCCCAAACCGGACGAAAUGAUCUUCCAGUGC